rnacentral:rRNA from 1 species
CCUUUGGUGAGGAAUAACACGAGGAAACUUGUGCUAAUACCUCAUAAGUCUUUACGGAGAAAGCUUUAUGCGCCAAUGGAUGAGCCCGCACUUGAUUAGUUUGUUGGUGGGGUAAUGGCCUACCAAGACUUUGAUCAAUAGCUGAUCUGAGAGGAUGAUCAGCCACAUUGGGACUGAGACACGGCCCAAACUCCUACGGGAGGCAGCAGUAGGGAAUAUUGCACAAUGGAGGAAACUCUGAUGCAGCGAUGCCGCGUGAGUGAUGAAGGCCCUAGGGUCGUAAAGCUCUUUCGCCAGGGAUGAUAAUGACAGUACCUGGUAAAGAAACCCCGGCUAACUCCGUGCCAGCAGCCGCGGUAAUACGGAGGGGGUUAGCGUUGUUCGGAAUUACUGGGCGUAAAGCGCACGUAGGCGGACUAUUAAGUCAGAGGUGAAAUCCCGGGGCUCAACCCCGGAACUGCCUUUGAUACUGGUAGUCUUGAGUUCGAGAGAGGUGAGUGGAAUUCCGAGUGUAGAGGUGAAAUUCGUAGAUAUUCGGAGGAACACCAGUGGCGAAGGCGGCUCACUGGCUCGAUACUGACGCUGAGGUGCGGAAGCGUGGGGAGCAAACA